UUUUUUUCAGCCAAGUACCACGUAAAUGCUAUGUACUUUAUCUUAAAAAACCAAAUACAGUGCCAGUUCAAGUAGGUACGGCUAAAAAUCUUAAAUUAUCGCACCCUGGUAGUUUCUGUUUGCCUAAUUUAUCGGAUUCGAUCUUUCAUAACACCUUGGAAUAUAAGGAGUAUACAAUACGUCAAUACAUGUGAGUUUGACAGUGAGUGACUGGUUGGCAUGGAGAACAAGGAAAAGACAAUGCAACAUCGGAUUACUGGAUCUUAAUGGCCCUGUUAUGAAAGGGCCACAACACUAAAG